UACGUAGGGGGCAAGCGUUGUCCGGAUUUACUGGGCGUAAAGAGCGUGUAGGCGGCCAAGCAGGUCCGUUGUGAAAACUGGAGGCUUAACCUCCAGACGUCGACGGAAACCGCGUGGCUAGAGUCCGGAAGAGGAGAGUGGAAUUCCUGGUGUAGCGGUGAAUGCGCAGAUAUCAGGAAGAACACCCGUGGCGAAGGCGGUUCUCUGGGACGGUACUGACGCUGAGACGCGAAAGCGUGGGGAGCGAACAGG
rnacentral:rRNA from 1 species